rnacentral:SRP_RNA from 1 species
GCUGGGCGCUGUGGCGCGCGCCUGUAGUCCCAGCUAACAGGAAGCUGACGCAGGAGGAUCGCUUGAGCUCAGGAGUUCUGGGCUGUAGUGCGCUAUGCCGAUCGGGUGGCCGCACUAAGUUCAGCAUCAAUAUGGUGACCUCCCGGGAGCAGGGGACCACCAGAUUGCCUAAGGAGAGGUGAACCGGCCCAGGUCAGAAACGGAGCAGGUCAAAGCUCCAGUGCUGAUCAGCAUUGGGAUCGUGCCAGAACAGCCACUGCACUCGAGCCUGGGCAACAUAGAGAGAACCGUCUCUU